rnacentral:lncRNA from 1 species
AUUUGAGAAGAGGAGUUCAUCAAGAAGGUCCAUGUCAGACUGGCCUCCUGGGUUGCAUCAUAUAGUGAUGGGUGUGAAAGUCACUUUAGCCGUCUGAAGAACGUUUAGUACAUUAAGUGACUGUUAGACAGUAACUCUUGUAGAGGAGACACAGCAAUCUGAUAUUUAAUCUACCUUCCUCGGACAGGUUAAUCAGGAAGAUGGGAGGUGGGAGAAGUGCUGCGAAGAGCCUCUGGCUUCAUCACAGACCUUGAGCCUGCAGGGAACAGUCUGCAACAAGAAGCCUUUGACUGGACACCAACUGAUGCUUUGAUUUGCGAGGGAUUCCAUAAAAGGUCAUAUGUUUCUGCACUGAUCCUCCACUUGCCUCAGGUGGGAAUGCUCUGGAGCCUAUGUGAGCUCCUUGCACCAUCACACUAAGCUGUAGUGUUUGCACUGUUGAAAUGAGACCUGGAGCCAUGCUGACCUAGACCUCCUUUGCCAAAGAGAAGGUGCCUGAAGUUCAAGAGGGAGGCAGACCGGGAAGAAGUCCAACUUUCUGGGUGUGUAGCAGUUUUUUAUGCAAGUAUCAUGAAAUGAAAUGCUCUGUCCUGAAAUGGUAGUUACUUAGCUUUAACUUUGUGGCCACAAAGGUUUGAGC